AGUCUUGGAAGAUUGUACUUUCCCAAGAAUUCGUCCAUUUCUUCUAGGUUUUCCAUUUUAUUGGCAUAUAGUUGCAUGUAGUAGUCUCUUAUGAUCCUUUGUAUUUCUGUGAUGUCCGUUGUUACUUCUCCUUUUUCAUUUCCCAUUUUAUUGAUUUGAGUCCUCUCUCUUUUUUGCUUGAUAAGUCUGGCUAAGGAUUUAUCAAUUUUGUUGAUCUUUUCAAAGAACCAGCUUUUCAUUUCAUUGAUCUUUAUGGUUUUCUUCAUUUCUAUUUCAUUGAUUUCUGCUCUGAUCUUUAUGAUUUCUUUCCUUCUACUAACUUUAGGUCUUGUCUGUUCUUCUCUCUCAAGCUGCUUUAGAUGUAAAGUUAGCUUGUUUAUUUGGGCUUUUUCUUGUUUCCUGAGGGGGGCUUGUAUUGCUAUAAACUUUCCUCCUGGAACAGAUUUUGCUGCAUCCCAUAGGUUUUGGAGUUUCAUAUCUUUGUUGUCAUUUGCUUCUAGGUAUUUUUUAAUUUCCUCUUUGAUUUCUUCAGUGAUCCAUUGGUUGUUUAGUAGCACAUUGUUUAGUCUCCACAUGUUUGUGUUUUUGGCAGUUUUUUUUCUUGUUGUUGAUUUCCAGUCGUAUAGCAUUGUGGUCAGAAAAGAUGCUUGAUAUGAUUUCAAUUUUCUUAAGGUUACCAAGGUUGGAUUUGUAGCCCAGGAUGUGAUCAAUCUUAGAGAAUGUUCCAUGUGCACUUGAGAAGAAUGUGUAUUCUGUUGCUUUUGGAUGGAAUGUCCUAUAAAUAUCUAUUAAGUCCAUCUGGUUUAAUGCAUCAUUCAGGGCCUGUGUUUCCUUAUUGAUUUUCUGUCUGGUUGAUCUGUCCAUUGCUGUAAGUGGGGUGUUAAAGUCCCCCCUAUGAUUGUGUUAUUGUCAGUUUGUCCUUUUAAGGUUGUUAGCAGUUGCCUUAUAUAUUGUGGUGAACCUAGGUUGGGUGCGUAGCUAUUGAAAUUUGUUAUAUCUUCUUCUUAGAAUGAUCCUUUGAUCAUUAGGUAGUGACCUUCCUUGUCCCUUAAUAUAUUCUUCAUUUUAAAGUCUAUUUUGUCUGAUAUGAGUAUUGCUACUCCAGCUUUCUUUUGAUCCCCAUUUGCAUGAAAUAUUUUCUUCCAUCCUCUCACUUUCAAUUUGUAUGUGUCCCUAGAAGUGAAGUGGGUCUCUUGAAGACAGCAUAUAUAUGGGUCUUGUUUUUGUAUCCAUUCAGCCAGUCUAUGUCUUUUGGUUGGGGCGUUUAGUCCAUUAACAUUUAAGGUAAUUAUUGAUAUGUAUGUUCUUAUUGCCAUUUUAUUAAUUGCUUUGGAUUUGUUUUUGUUGCUCUUUUUUCUUCCCUUCUUCUCUUGUUCUCUCCUCUUCUGGUUUGAUGACUAUCUUUAGUGUUGUAUUUGAGUUGAUUUUUCUUAUUUGUUUGUGUAUCAAUUGUAGAUUUUUGGUUUGCAGUUAUUCUGAAGUUUUGAUAUAAGAGUCUAUAUGUAUAUGAGAUUGUUUUAAGUUGUUGUUCUCUUAAUUGCAAGUUCAUCUCCAGUGUCCUGCAUUUGUACCCACCUCUUCUCAUGAUUUCUGAUUUUGGUGGUAUAAUUGUGCAUGGAUGAUUUCGUAUCUUUACUGUAUAUAUACCUUUACUGGUGAGCCUUGUCAUUUGUGGAAUUUUUGUUUCCUGUUGCUGUCUUUUCUUUUCUGCCUAGAGAAGUUCCUUUAGUAUUUGUUGUAAGGCUGGUUUAGUGUUGCUGAAUUCUCUCAGCUUUUGCUUAUCUGUGAAGGUUUUGAUUUCUCCUUCAAAUCUGAAUGAGAGCCUUGCUGGGUAAAGUAAUCUUGGUUGGAGGUUUUUUCCUUUCAUCACGUUAAGUAUAUCAUGCCAUUCCCUUCUGGACUGCAGAGUUUCUGCUGAAAAAUCUGCCAAUAGCCUUAUUGAAGUUCCCUUGUAUGUUAUUUGUUUCUUUUCCCUAGCUGCUUUCAAGAUUUUCUCUUUGUCUUUAAUUUUGGUCAGUUUGAUUAAUAUGUGUCUUGGGGUGUUCUCCUUGGGUUUAUUUUAUAUGGUACUUGUGCUUCUUGGAUUUGAGUGAGUGGUUCCUUUCCCAUGUUAGGGAAGUUUUCAGCUAUUAUCUCUUGGAAUAUUUUUUCUGUCUCCUUCUCUCUCUCUCUUCUCCUUCUGGCAUCCCUAUAAUACAGAUGUUGGUGCAUUUAAUGUUGUCCCAGAGUUCUCUGAGACUCUCUUCAUUAGUUUUCAAUCUUUUUUCUCUUUUCUGUUCCACAUUCAUAAUUUCUUAUAGUCUACCCUCCACCUCGCUUAUUCAUUCUUCUGCCUCCUGUAUUCUGCUGUUGGCUGCUUCUAUGAAUUUUUUUUCAGUUAUUGUAUUUUGCAUCUCUUCUUGCUUACGUUUUAUAUCUUCUAUCUCUUUGCUCAGUGUUUCCUGUAAGUUAUCCAUCUUUGCCUCCAGUUUAUUUCCAAUGUCUUGUAUCAUCUUCAGCAUCAACAAUCUAAAGUCUUUUUCUUGGAGGCUGAGAAUAUCCUCAUCACUUAGCUGAUUUUCUGGGUUUUUUCCUUUCUCCCGCAUCUGAGUUAUAGUUCUCUGUCUUUUCAUUAUUAGAGGUUUUUGGUGUGGUGACAUUUUUACAGAUAAUAGAGUUGUAGCCUCUCCUACUUCUGGUGUCUGUCCCCCUUGUGGCUGAAGUCAGUAUGGGGGCUUGCUGUAGGCUUCCUGAUGGGAGGGCUGAUGCCUGCCCACUGGUAGGUGGAGCCAAUUCUAAUCCCUCUGGUGGGUGGGGCUUAGUCUGUGGAUGGGAUUAGAGGCAGCUGUGUGCCUGAGGGGUCUUUAGGUAGCCUGUUUACUGAGGGGUGGGGCUGUGAUCCCACCUGGAUUGUUGUUUGCCCUGGGGUUUCUCAGCCCUGACUGACAGUGCGGCCAGGUUUUCCCAAAAUGGCCACCUCCAGAGAAAGGCACGGCUGCUGAAUAUUCCUGGGAGCUUUGCCUUCAAUAUCCUUCCCUCACACUAAGCCACAUUCACC
rnacentral:lncRNA from 1 species